GACUGGUUAGCUCAGUUGGUUAGAGUGUGGUACUAAUAAUGCCAAGGUCAUGGGUUCGAUCCCCAUAUGGGCCAUUAAGUCUACUUUAGGGCUUCCCAGAUGGUGCUAGUAGUAAAGAACAUGCCAGUCAAGGCAGGAAAUGCAAGAUACAUGAGUUCAGUCUCUGGGCUGAGAAGAUCCCCUGAGGGAUGGCAUGGCAACCCACGCCAGUAUUCUUGCCUGGAGAAUCC
rnacentral:tRNA from 1 species